AUGGCCGCAGGCUGCGCUCUCUACGCCCUCCCGCCCCCCUGCGCAAAUCGCCGUUUGACUGGCAGGGUUCAGGGAGCUAGAAGAUGGCUUGCUUCGCAGCAGAGUUGUUGUGUUCGUCCCAUUGCUUCCAAAGCUCGUUUACCCUGGCGCGGUGCAGGCCGCUCGCUCGGCCCGCUUACGCUUGUCCAUGCCGCCCAAGGGUAUCCCAUCAUGGAUGCAGCAAAGGACACAAACCCGUCAUGUAAACUCCACACAAGACUGAGACUCUGGGAGUUUGCAGACCGUUAUAUAUUUGAACCAAUUGAUGGUCUUGCUGACUUAUAUUUGUCAGUUAGCCGGGCCAGUGGAUCAAUGAAUUUAGUUGAAGAGUUGCCACCACGUAGCCCCUCCAUAAAUCCUAAAGUUCAAACAGUUUUUGGUGUGAUAGGAGUGCUCAAACUUGCUGUUGGAUCGUAUUUUUUUGUGAUCACUGACCGUGAUUGUGUGGGAUCAUACUUGGGGCAUGCAAUUUUUAAAGUGACAGGACUAAAAGUCCUUCGCUGCAAUGACUCGCUUAACACUUCUCCCGAGCAGAAAAAAAUGGAAUCUGAAAUUUCCGAACUCCUGGAUGCUGCAGAGAAGACCAUGGGCCUCUACUUCUCCUAUGAUAUCAACUUAACACUUAAUUCACAGAGGCUGUAUGAUGUCGAUGACGAGUUCAAAUCACGUCCUCUUUGGAGACAGGCAGAGCCGAGAUUUCUGUGGAAUAGCUACUUGUUGGAACCUCUAAUUGAGAACAAACUGGACCAGUAUUUGUUGCCAGUCAUUCAAGGCAGUUUUCAGAAUAUCCAGGCAGAAGUUGGGUCAGAGAAGGUAAAUGUGACCCUGAUAGCACGUAGGUGCACAGGGAGGAUAGGCACUCGUAUGUGGAGAAGAGGAGCUGAUCCAGAGGGUUAUGCUGCAAACUUUGUUGAAUCGGAGCAGAUAAUGCAAUCAAAAGGGUAUACAGCAUCCUAUGUACAAGUUCGAGGUUCUAUGCCAUUCUUGUGGGAGCAGAUUGUUGAUUUGACAUACAAACCUAGCUUCGACAUUGUUAGACAAGAGGAAGCGCCUAGUGUACUUGAGAGGCACUUCAAAGACUUACAAAAGAAAUAUGGAGCUGUCUUGGCUGUUGAUCUUGUCAAUACACAAGGUGGUGAAGGCCGACUCCAUGAAAGAUAUGCAAAAUCUAUCGAACCAAUUCUCAGUGAAGAUGUAAGAUAUGUGCAUUUUGACUUCCAUCGUAUUUGUGGGCAUGUUCACUUUGAGCGCCUCUCACAGUUGUAUGAGCAAAUUGAGGAUUACCUGAAGAAACACAAGUACUUCCUGUUGAAUGAGAAAGGCGAGAAAAUUCAGGAGCAGCUCGGCGUUGUCAGAAAUAAUUGUAUUGAUUGUUUAGAUCGUACCAAUGUAACUCAGAGCAUGAUUGCGAGAAGAAUUCUGGAGAGCCAACUUCAACAAAUAGAAGUUUUUGGUGUUAACGAUACAAUAACCAAGUAUCCAGCUUUUGAUGCAAGCUACAAAGUUUUGUGGGCCAAUCAUGGAGAUGCAAUAAGCAUUCAGUACUCCGGAACUCCUGCUUUGAAGGGAGAUUUUGUUCGAUACGGGAAACGAAGUGCCCAGGGAAUUUUGAAUGAUCUCCAGUAUUCACUUGCUCGAUACUACUUGAACAACUUCGCAGAUGGGACGAAGCAGGAUGCCAUGGAUCUUCUUCAAGGACGUUACAUCACAUCUGUUAGUCGAGACAUGGCACCUCCAACAAAAGCAGGAUUUGUAGAGAGUUAUGCGUCCGCCCGCCUUGCUUUUGCAUUGGUUUCCGGAGCUUUUAUGUUCAUGAUGAUGUCACUGAGACAUGCUCGGCAUGACGCUCGUCAUUUACUGCUGUCACUUCUCUGGGCCGGUCUUUGUAUCGGGAUCACACACUUUGUGAGAAGCAAUGGCCGGGUGUUCACGAACCGGCCCCGUGCCCACAAGUCGUCACGCCCUUGA
rnacentral:rRNA from 1 species